UUGCUUUGGUGUAAGUCACCCACGUGGACCGUUGGAUGUGGCAUCCAUGGCUGAGAUUGUUUGAUGUGCAAUUCGGAUAUCGGGCCCGCCUGUGACCCAUUAUCUUUUGUUAACGGGUCCACAACUGACUGAAACCUGUUAACAUGCCCGCAGCUAUCUGAAACAUGUUUGGCUGUCAGCUUCAGGUGGAGCGUUCCCCAUUUUUUGCCCGUUGGUUGAAUAUGAGGCGGAGAGAGCGGCGACGAGGCCGGAGCUUCUCGACGGGGCGGAGAGAGCGGCGAUGAGGCCGGGCUGUCUCGUCGGAUCGGAAAGAUCGGCGACGAGGUCGGGCCGUCUCGUCGGGGCGGAGACAUCGGCGACAGUGGCGAAUUGACGAAUCGGUAGUGACCGGCGGCGAAUCAGUGGGUUCUUCGGCGGCAAGACCUGGUUCUGGCCUUGCUUCCCUUCGCAUCGAGCUGAUCAAAUCAUUGUUCUCGCAAGCCUAAUUCAUCUGUCCCUAGCUUGAAGGUAUUUGUAGUGGUUCUGCAGGGUCCUGCAGGUUCACUGCAGGGGCGUAUAGUCUCACAUUGCUACCUCUCCAGAACUCUUUCAACCCACUUAAUUAGCCUCUUGGUGUUUUUAGUGUUAUCUUUGUCGUGAAUGUUUCUGAAUAGCUUAAAUAUUGAGAAGUCAAUUACAUGUUUAAUUAGUUCCCAUUUCCUGCGCAUUGGUUUAUGAUGAAUCUCCA